GAUGAACGCUAGCGAUAGGCUUAACACAUGCAAGUCGAGGGGCAGCGCGGGUAGCACUUCCUGUCGGCGACCGGCGCACGGGUGAGUAACGCGUAUGUAACCUGCCCGCAACAGGGGGAUAACCCGGCGAAAGUCGGACUAAUACCGCAUAAAACAGGGGUCCCGCGUGGGAAUAUUUGUUAAAGAUUUAUCGGUUGCGGAUGGGCAUGCGUACCAUUAGGUAGUUGGUGAGGUAACGGCUCACCAAGCCUUCGAUGGUUAGGGGUUCUGAGAGGAAGGUCCCCCACACUGGUACUGAGACACGGACCAGACUCGUACGGGAGGCAGCAGUGAGGAAGACUGGUCAAUGGGCGAGAGCCUGAACCAGCCAAGUCGCGUGAAGGAGGACUGCCCUAUGGGUUGUAAACUUCUUUUAAAAGGGAAUAAAAUGAGAUACGUGUAUUUUAUUGCAUGUACCUUGAGAAUAAGCACCGGCUAACUCCGUG
rnacentral:rRNA from 1 species